AAUUCUGCAACUAGAAUCAUGUGCAUGGACUUUUGCUGAGACCAGUUGGGCUAUGCCUGGAUGCAGGGGUCUGUCUGCAUAGUUCUCUUUGAAGGAUGAUGGCCUGAUUAAUUUCAUCUGCUGUUUCGCUAAAAGGGGAAAUCUGUUAUGAUCCUGCUACUUUUUUACACCUGAGCCAACACAAAACAAAAGAAACUUCAUGAGUAAGAACCACUUGCAUUAGUAAAGGCUGCAAGAUCAGGUCUCCAUGGAUCAGUGCUGAUGGGGCAGAAAUGCUUGAAGAUAGUUUGCCUGGAUUACAUCCAAAAAGAUGAGACCUGCUGUAUUCAGGUUUUCCAUGGAGACUAUUAUUAGCAGGAAUCGGAAUGAUGGAACUCAUGGCUGUUAUCAACUUGUAAAAGUAUAAAGGGUACCAUUCCUCUGGGGUUAGAGGCCUGCAGCUGGCUGAUUAGCCACACCACCUGCACCUGAGAAACAGCUGGAACUUAAUUAAUGAUCUUUAUUAAAAAGGGCAACAGGAAGUAGAGAAGGACUGCAACACUCCCCAAACAGCUGAGAGGUGAUGGAGCCUGCUCCCAAUGGACUGUUAUUUGGACUACUGCAGAGAGGAAUUGCUGCAGAAACUGAAUGGAUAGAAGAGAGACUGUGUGAAGUCCUUUAUUACUGAGGCUCUGAGUUAAGAGCCAGGGCAUUUUGGUUACUGGCAUGAGGGCUAGACUUGGGAAAGGGGCUACUGGGUGUGCACAGACUUUCAGGGAAAAGUAUGCAAGGUUUUGAUUGAUUGUUAAAAAGGGUCAAAAUAAAACAAUUAUCCAU